AGAAAAGAGGGAUACAGCGAUUAAGAGCUUACGGAGAACAAGACCAAUAACAACAAGAUGCGAUAUGUUCAGAGAUCUGUUCUGUUUUGUGGUGCAAACGCCUUCUCGAUUUUCGUAUCGAUAGAUCUUCUUAGCCUACCCUGGACUGCUCAUAUCGAUAGGUCGAUAAUCAGCUGGUUAAAGGGCUGGCAACCCUACCCCGCCAUAUGUAUACAUGUAUACAUCCUCUAUAAAUGGAGUUCUGUCAUUGUUUUGACAGACCUUUAACCCUCAAUAUUCUUUGUAUAUUAAAUCUCUUGAUAGUUUGGUUUAUGAAUGGGCGACAUCGACAUCGACAUCCAUCGCGUAUGCAAAACAUCUGGGACGACUAUUGGCUUUGUAGGGCUUUCAGUGUGUGCACACCCGUAUUUGAAUAUUGGAUAUUGGAUUCAUGGCUACGUGACACGCAUCGCAGGAGCCCUUCCACAUGUGUAUGUAUGUGUCGGCAGGUGUUGAUCUCACGCUGCCACAACGUGACUUUGUUGCCGCCUGGCUCCUGACCGGUGGAGUGGUGGAGACGCCACAAAAUCCGCGCGCUCUCUCCCACAUUUAACGAGCAUCUGAGGCCUACUCACGAAAGUUUUCCAUUAAAGCAACAAAUUUUAAUUUUAA
rnacentral:sRNA from 1 species